CUAAACUAAAAAAAAAAAAAAAAAAAAAAAAAAAAACAGAGCUGGUUUUCACGGUAAACUUACUACAAAAAUAGAACCCUAUUGUGUAUUUUUCGGUUCAUGUGCAAACCAAAAAUGAAGAUUGUCAGAGACGAUGAGAAAGAAGACAAUCAAGAUGGAGGCGAAGGCCGCGAAGCUGGUGACGGGUAUCUAUCAUAGCAUUAUUAGUGUAGAUUCAGGAUAAAGUUUUCCCAUAGCUGCCUUAAUACUCGCUAAUGAGUCACCAUAUGGACAAAGAUCGUAUCACCCAUCUGCGCUACACUAGAAAACGGGUUCUUCAGUUCAGGGUGCUGCACUAACUUAAUUCAUACAUAGUCAUUGGUGGAUCAUACAUUUUCGGCAUAAAAUACGUGGAAAACAAAUUGGAAAGGACAAACAAAAUUGUUCGCGACCAUCCACCACAGUUGUUCAACUUAACAAAUCGCCAAUGUAACAGGGAACUACUGCUCGAGGAAAUUUACUGGCAGAAGAGUUGGUGUAUAAUGCAUUUGGUUCAAGACAAGCCAUGACACCAGAGGUUUUUUUUUUUUUUUUUUUUACUUUCUCUUAAAUUUUCUAUUUCUAAUCCAACAUUUUGUCUUUUGGUUAUUUGUACAAAAUUUCCUUCAACAAUUAAUGGUUGAGUAUUUGUGCAUA